rnacentral:rRNA from 1 species
AUUGAACGCUGGCGGCAGGCCUAACACAUGCAAGUCGAGCGAGAGGCGGACGGGUGAGUAAUGUAUGGGGACUGCCCGAUAGAGGGGGAUAACUACUGGAAACGGUGGCUAAUCCCGCAUACGAUCGGAUAACCCAUAUGGGAUUAGCGAGUAGGGGGGGUAAAGGCUCACCUCGGCGCCGAUCUCUAGCUGGUCUGAGAGGAGGAUCAGCCACACUGGGACUGUGACAAGGCCCAGCCUCCUACGGAGGCAGCAGGGGGGAAUAUUGCACAAUGGGCGCAAGCCUGAUGCAGCCAUGCCGCUUGUAUGAAGAAGGCCUUAGGGUUGUAAAGUACUUUCAGCGGGGAGGCGUUACCCGCAGAAGAAGCACCGGCUAACUCCGUGCCAGCAGCCGCGGUAAUUC